CGGAAGCUGGGUGGCGGGUGCUGGCAUGCUUCUUCUCCGGCGAGGACGCCGUGCUACACCGGCGCCGCCACACAUCUUCUGUUCUCGCUAGUAUAUUUCCUGUAGCAGUUCUUCAGUGCACACAAAAAAGACUAGCAUUUCAAUUACUAUCAAUUACUAAAUUCUUCAGUUCAGUUCAAUUACUGAAAUUAUUUCAGUUCAAUUCUUUUAAUAAGUUUCAUUUCGAAUAUAUUAUUUCUGUUCAAUUCAGUUUAGUUCGAUGUAAUGCAAAAAUUCUGAAACUGCUAGAUCCGUGUGAGUAUUUUGGGUUAGGGUAAUGCAUGGCUGACUAAUUGUUUUAUUGUUGUACUAAUGGCCGUUUGUGUGCAGUGCUAAUGGCAGUACAUUUUGGGUUAGGGUAAUGGAUGUCUGACCAAAGAAAUUAUUGUUGUACUAAUGUAAGUACUAAUGGCGGUUUGUGUGCAGUGCUAAUGGAAGUACGAUGGAUGAUAGACUACAUAAAUUAUUGUUGUGUGUGUGAUGGAUGAUACCACUUGCUUUUCAUAACAUAAAAGAUAUACAUCAAUUUUAGGAUUGACGAGGCCAUGUCCGCCUCGGUUUUCUGGGAUCUUGAACAAUGGAAUGACGAUACACACUGAAAUGGCAUACAGAAAUCUGAAUGCUCACACUUGCUACUUGCUAGAGUUGAUACUAGGCUUAUUUUCAUUAUGCCACUUGCUACUUGUAGUUGUCAUGGGUGCCCGUUGAAAUAAGUUGUUUUUGUUAACAUGAUAUUGGUCAAUUAAUUUUACAGACCUCUUAUUGGAAUUGGGGCUGCAACUAAAGUAGCAAACACGACUACGUGAGAAGGGUGAGAAUUAGUGGGAGCAGGGUAUGGAUGAGGAAGGAGCACCAGUAUCUUCAAUGUUGCUGUUGUUUCGUUUCCAUCCCUCUCACGUGUGCAGGUGAGCUUCAUAAUAGAGUAGCUAGACCUAUCCGCCUUCCAUUUUCUGAAUUUUUCUGGGAGCUAGUAGUACCUAAAAGGAGGAAGCUGGCAACUCCGUUUACCUAAACGUGUAUAGCACAUGUGAUGCUACAGAAUUUUGUUGGAGCUGGAUGAGACUUUUGCCGUUCCCCUUGUACUCCUUCAUAUAAUCAGUUCAUGUUUUCAAACCAUGUAAG
rnacentral:lncRNA from 1 species